rnacentral:rRNA from 1 species
UACGAGGGGGGCGAGCGUUGUUCGGAAUUACUGGGCGUAAAGCGUGCGCAGGCGGUUUUGUAAGUCUGACGUGAAAUCCCCGGGCUUAACCUGGGAAUUGCGUUUGGAGACUGCAAGGCUGGAGUCUGGCAGAGGGGGGUAGAAUUCCACGUGUAGCAGUGAAAUGCGUAGAGAUGUGGAGGAACACCGAUGGCGAAGGCAGCCCCCUGGGUCAAGACUGACGCUCAUGCACGAAAGCGUGGGGAGCAAACAGG